rnacentral:lncRNA from 8 species
UAAUAAUGCUUUCACUUUACAGAGCACUUUUAUUGAUGCUGGGGAUAUUAUGUGUCAAGGCUAUAGCCUGUAAGUUGUAUAGCAGCCUAUGUCACAAUGCAAAUGUAGCUAGGAUGAAUCAUUUAUUGAAUGUAUAGUGCUUUUCAGGACAAUGCCUCUAUUCUGUGUUUAGUUGUAAACCCGUGGGUGCCAAAAUAACCUGGCAACAGAUAGAAACAAAAAAAUGUAAAGUUAUUUCAUAUUAAUCAGAUGGCUGCUUGCCCGGAAAGUAAUUUCUGGGCCUGCAGAAACUGUAGCCUAACCCAUGGUUUCCCCUGGCCCACAGGCUACUGCUAAGAAAACCUCUGAGUUAAAAUCAUGUAACAUGCUAUUUAAAGUCAUCACAUUUCUUUGAUUUAUCUAAAUGCCAGUUUUGCUGAUGAUGUUAUUUGUUGCACUGUAUUCCUUCAGCCACCAAAAUAAAGGCUGAACAGAGGAAGACAGGAGGGGGGGCCUCCACCUCCAGGGUUCACCCCAGCUGAGGAGUUGGUCCUGGACCACAGUAGAGGCUCAAAAACGGCUCCCAAGUGGCGCAGCAUCUCAGUGCUUGAGGCGUCACUACAGGCCCUGGUUCGAUUCCAGGCUGUAUCACAACCGGCCGUGAUUGGGAGUCCUAUUCGGCGCACAAUUGGCCCAGCGUCAUUAGGGUUUGGCUGGGGUAGGCCGUCGUUCUAAAUAAGAAUUUGUUCCUAACUGAUUUGCCUAGUUAAAUAAAGAGGGAGGGCCAAUCAUAGAAGGCAUCGCUGGAGGUUGCUUAUCAGACAUGACUGCACCCUGGACAGGAGCCCGUUUUAUAAAGGGUAGCCAUAAAUCCAUAUGAAUACUUCUCCUUCUCUUUAUUUCUGAGAUUAAUUCAUGUUUAUAUUUCUCCAUCUCUUUAUUUCAGUCACUGGCCACUCAAUAACUAUUCUGGAGGGGUCAUCGACUGAAUACAUUGCGGUACAACAGCAGAACCGUUUUAUGUUGGAGGACGAGCAUUAUGAUGAGGAGACCAUCUCGGCGUCUUCCGAGAGGCCUUUUGAGAUGUGCAACUCUGCUGGACUUUACACUGCUGGACCCCCUAACUCUACUGGACCUUGCACUGCUGGACCCCCUAACUUUGCUUUGUAUAGCAAUCAAAGUGAAACCGUGUAGGGUUACUUUUGCUAAAUAUGGGUUGAGAAAAUUGACCAGAUACAUGAUUGAUUGUGCGGAAAAACGAUAACGUUCAAAAAUAAAUUCUUUUGAAUGAUCUAAAGGAUGUAUUCGAGGUCCAAUAAUUUGUACCCUUUGUAAAGCACGAUGAACAAUGCAGGCUCCAAUGUCAAGU